UACGUAGGCAGCAAGCGUUGUUCGGAGUUACUGGGCGUAAAGGGUGUGUAGGCGGUCUUCUAAGUUUGGUGUGAAAUCUCCCGGCUCAACUGGGAGGGUGCGCCGAAAACUGGGAGGCUAGAGUGCGGGAUGGGAGAGUGGAAUUCCUGGUGUAGCGGUGAAAUACGUAGAUAUCUGGAGGAACACCGGUGGCGAAGGCGGCGAUCUGGCCCAACACUGACACUGAGACCCGAAAGCAUGGGGAUCAAACAGG
rnacentral:rRNA from 1 species